rnacentral:lncRNA from 1 species
CAUUGGUUCCUGCUCUUCCUCUUAUCUCCUUAGCAUUGACUUGCCAUGGUAUAUCUGAGCUUGACCCUCUUCUCCUUAUCUUAAUGCUUCUGUAGCAAUCUUUCUGUCUUCUAUGAUUUCAAUAACUCUUUGAAUGAAGAUGAAUCCCAAAUCUUCACUUUUAGCCCCUACCUUUUGCUUUUCCUUCAUACACAUACUUCCAGUCACCUUCUGAACACUCAACUUCAUCUUGACUCAAAUAUCCAAAACCAUUGCUGCAAACCAACAUAAUCACCAACUUCCUCCUUUUGCUUAAUGGUAUCACCAUGUCUUCCGUCACCGAACUCAAGCUUUUCAGGCACUUUUGCCUCCUCCAUUUUCUUCAUCCUGCAUAUCUAAAAAUUUGAAAAGCCUACUAAUUCUUCCCCCUAAGGUUUCCAGUCUUUCCUUUUCAUUCAGACCCUUCCUUCUAGUCUGGAUUAUUUCAGCGUCUUUUAGCAUUGUUCCAAUAUUUUAUAUUUGAAUCUACUCUUGUCAGUACUCACUUCCUACAUAUAAAUCAGAUGUCAUUCUUCAGAUCAAGAAACAACCUUCAGUGGGCUUCACUUGCCGUAGUCUGCCAGCAAUAAUUUCUUGUUACUUGACUAUGUGUGUGUCCCAUAAUCCAGACAAGCUGAAUAACAUUUGUUUCACCUUUCCCUACCAGCUUGUUUUCCCACUUGCGUCUUCCCUUAAACUGUUCCCUUUGUCCAAAAUACUCUCCUUCCUAUCUCCCAUCUCACUCCCUUCUUGAAUAAUAUCCAUUCCCUCUAUAUAAGUCUUCAAAGACCAGAACAACUUCUUUAUCUUCCAUUCAGAAAAUAAUUUUAGGCAUUUUAUGAAUGCCCAUAACACUUUCGUUGUUUCUCCCUAGUGGCAGCUAUCAUGGGCCAUCUUAUUUCAUAGGUAUUUGGUUAUACAUCUCAUCUCUCCUGCUACAGCAUAAGCUCCCUGUGUUCAGGGCCAUGUAUUUUUAAAUCUUUUUAUCUCCUGUAGCACUAAACAGAGUGCCUUGUAUAUGAAAGGCAUUAGUAAAUAUUUGAUAUUAUUAUAAAUUAUAAUUGAGAAGGAGUCACUUUAUUUUGCCCAUUUGUAUCUGCAGUAGCACCUAAGGAUGAAUCCCCCCAGUUUCUCUAUAUAUAUCUGCACACACAAUCACAUGUAUAUACUACAUGUAUACAGUUCAUUAUUUCAAAUGGAAUCUGGAUUUUUCUAAGUGCUUUGUCCUUUUUCUAAGUGCUUUGUCCUUUGAAGUUGUUUUGGACUGUUUUAUGGUUAGGAAAGUGUACUUGGAACACUACAUGUGUUCAAGUAAGUGACAGAGGGAGAAACUAUGAAGGAUAUUGAUCAAAUUUUAGGUAUCAGCUUUUCAGAUGCUUUGGGUAGAGCUUGUAUCCAGACACUUUACUACCAAGAUUGAGUCUCUAAUAACCUGAUCCAUGCUGGGACUGAUCUGUGAUCCAAUAUUUAGCUUCUUUUUUAACACUUUCAGCACCAAAAGAACCUUGUCACAGUUCUGGCUCACUAAUCACACAGCCUUGUAGACCCCAGGUGGUGGUCCAACAGGACCACUGUAUUUCACCACACGCUACUUCCACAUUUGUGGCCUUGGGGGAACUGUCUGUGCUGGUCACCACCUUGUCUUUAUAUUUCUUUCCUGAGUUCUUUGGCUUCUCACCCUUUCUGAGGCUUUGUCUACAGGAUCACUUCUCCCAAAGGGAGGAUAAGAGUUGAGGUAAUUGAGCACUUUACCUCUUAUCUGUAUAUUUACAAUGAAAGUAAGUUAGGAUUUGAAUGAGCUGGCUCAGAGAGAAUGCUAGUCUCUAAACUACUCCUUUCUCUGUAAAUAUAAAGGGAUUCAUUACCUCAGGGGGAGACAACAUCACUUCUGACCUUAUGGCCCUCCCUUAUCCUCUGGUCCCUGUAUUCUUGAAGCCCUGUUAACCCUUCCUCCUCCUCUCUUGGCUCUACUUAGCAAUCUAUCAAUCAUUCUUUCUAGCCAGUGUCAGUCUCUGUCCCUCUGAAGAAACUCUUGGAGCUCGUACUGUCCUUUCACUUCAGCUGCUCUGGUAACCGAUAAUGUUUUCGUUCCUUCUCCCGGCCAGCCUUCUCUGUAAAUCUCAUUAUGCCAUUGGCUAUGAAUUAUUCCCCUUUGGGAGGCAUCUUCUGCCACUGUGUGCUAAUUUAAAGCAUACUAUAGAGAACUGAACUCAAAUAAGUUACAGGCAGUGACAAGUCUCUUUUUUUAAAAAAAAAGUGAAGAAAGUCCACUCUUCAUUGAGACAGGAGUGGGUAGGACAAUUAUUAUUGGCAAGGUAGGGCAAAACUUGUGACAACUUGGGAGAUACCUAGUGAAAAUUAAAAUAUAAGUCUAGAGAGAUAAUUUUGCUUUUCAAAAGUCCUAUGGGGUCUAGAUAGCCUUGCUCCUGAAAAUGAGAAUAGUUAAUAUUUUAGAGCAAAACCCAUUUCAUUAUACUAUGAGACUUUUUUUUUUAGCUGAUGAAACAAAUUAUCUGGUAAACAGCUGGUGGGAGGGUAGGAAGACAGCCAUCCUCAUGAAGGACGUUCAUGAAUCUCAUUUGGGCCAAUAAAUGGACCAAAAUUCUAGGCAUUUUAGCCAUGAACUGUUCAUGUCAAUUAUUUUGCCUACAAAUACCCAUAAAAGGAAAGGGAGGAUAUGAGGAAGGAAAAGAACAGGAAGUCUACACUGGAGCUUCCUUUUGUGUCACCAAUAAAGCCAGAAGCUGACAUGUGAGGCACAUGGUUCCCCCUUGGUUACUGGCUUCAAUGAUAGCUUCGGAAAGUAGGGAAACUUGAAAGAGCAAGGACCAAAGCGGAGAUGAGUGAGGAACCUGAAUGCAACCUUAUGUGUGAGGUCCUGAUAUCCACAAGGAACCUGGCCCCAUGUCAUUCCUGCCCAGGUCCUUCAGAUUACAGCACCCAAGGAGCCCUUGAUCAUCACCCUGGGCAGAGGGAGUGACUUAUCACACCACCCUUACCCACAGAAUUUAGGCCACCAGGCUGUGACUCCAUCUGUCCCCCUUGCAGUAAGAGAUUCAUAGUCUCUGAAAUCUGACAGGAGAACAGCAUCAGGGGAAGGGGCCACAGGAAUGCGAAUUUGUUGAGCUGCCUGCUCCUCUAGGAUAAGUAUAUUACCUGUUUCCAGAGGGGAUUGUUUUUUUUUCGAAAUGAAACAAAACAUGCCUGCCUAAAACUUCAGCCCUAUUCAGAACAGUCUUGCAGUUAACUGUCAUUGUCACAUUUUAAUUGUAAUUGAUUUUCUUUUGAAAUCCAUGGCUAUUUUAAUGCUCCCUUUGACCAUGACAUAAGAACCCUCUGCAAACCAGAGACCUGGCCAUUAGGUUGCCUCUGGCUGAGUUAUACUCUCAGUAGUUUAUACUUUGCUCUCAGAUAUUCACCUGAACAGCACAACUACACAGAAUUUGAUCUCUUUGCCAUGAGCAUUCUGAUGCCUAUGUACCUCCCUAAUGCACACACACAAUCUUAACAAAUAGAUCCAAAUUUCCUAUGUCAAUCAUGUUAUGGUAGAUGAAAGUGUUCAUUUAGAAUGGGAUAAAGAGACAUAUCAUAAUUUAUGCAGCCAGUGUUUUCUCUUUGCUCUACCUGGCUUGUGGAUCAUUGAUCCCUCAAGGUUUGACAGAAAUAUUCAGGCUUCAUGUGAAGGCAGCAUGUUCUUUGUGAUGAAACAACCUAGUUAUCGUCUCCAUUUUCCCAUUUUACCCUAUGGAAUCCAUGUGGCCUUCUAAGGUCCUGUUGAUGGACUGGUACUAAGAGGAUGGAGAAGCAGAAGCCAGUCCCCCUGAGAACAGACAGUCCUGUUGCUUAGAUACAUACAUAUUCGCACAUGUGCCCACAUCUCUUCUUGGAAACAUCAUGAGCAGAGGUGGAGAGGUCUGUUCUCAAUGGGAGGAAUAAGGGUAGGAGAAUUCCUUGAGAAUCCCUAUUCUCAAGGAAUAGGGAUAAAUGCCUUCACGGAUUCAAUAAUUUAUCUGUUCUCUCUCUCCCAGGGUCAGGAGCAAGAAAAAUAUCAAGGUUUCACAUAGGCAGGAAGCAAGGAGGAUAGUGAAGCAUCUAGGUGGAGGUGGAACUCUUACUGAGAAAAACAUGAAGUAGUAAAAUCACCCUUUCUUUGAUAUAAAUGCAUUUAGAAGUCAAUGAGGGCACUUACAGCUGUGUUUCCCUUCACUAACUUUUCAUCUCUUGCAUUCUUUACUUCUCUUUCUCAAUUUAUUCAUCUUGAGGUAUACUUAUCCUGAGUUGACUCUGAGCAGCCCAUCCUCAAAACACAAACAAUGUUAGGAUGAGAAGUUGAGUGAGCACAGAGCUCGAACACGUGCAUGGUACUUAAUGUUUCCAAACUCGAGCCCAAUCAGUCUAGCACAGUCAAUCCCACUGCAUUUUAAUGACUAGGAUGGGGCCUGCUGUACAUAGCUGGACAUCUUGGAUUACAGAAAAGAGGCUUUAUGUGAAGGCAGCAUUUUCUUUGUGGUAGAGCAACAUAGUUAUCCUGCUAACUGUCCUAUUUGACCUGAUGGAAUCCAUAAGGUCCUGUUGAUGGGUUGGUUCUAAGAGGAUGGAGAAGCAGAAGUCAUUCUACUGAGAACAGACAGUCCUGUUGCUUAGAUACAUACAUAUUCUUUAUGACAGAAUUCCUCCUGAGACUCUUGCACACCUUCAGUGAUCAGCGCAUUCACUUUGGUUAUUUCUUGGUAACAGGCACGAGAAAUGGGUCACAUAGAAAUCUGAAGAGUCAUUUCUCGAGCAUUUUUAGCUUAUUCCCAUGUAAAGAGGCACUGAGCUCCUGCAGUUCUAGCCUGCCUCUGCUCCCCUCCUUGGGGAAUGGUGGAGUUUCUAGGAUAACCAGCAACCCAUUAGGCUCCACCACACUUAGCCUAUGGUACAUUCUGAGUAAAUCACAGUAGUUGGUAUGUGAAUACAGAAGAAUUUACCAUAACCACUUCUCCAAAUAACCUCCUUUGACUUGGAAAUAAGAUCAUCUUUCAGUUUUACAGAUGAGAAGUCAAAGCACAAAAUUGGAUAAUUAGCCAAAAGUAAGAUUAUACAGAAAAUUCUUGACAGAACCAAAACUUGGCUGAACCAAAACUUGUCCAAAUUUCUAACUCUCAGUCUAGCUCAGCGAGUAAUGCUGCCUGAAUUGUCUGCCCCCACUGUAGGUUUUCAGCAUCUAGCAGUGGAGAAAAGUCACGAAAUCUAGGCAGCUGAUUUAGCCAGAUCUUAUCUAUGAAAUUUCCCUUUGUAGACACACACACACUCCACAUACAUCUACAGAGACAAGUCAAAAAGAGCAAGAAGAAAGCAAAAAUUUGAAAAUCAGAAAGGUUAGAGAGGUUUCCACGGUGAAGAAAACUUGGUCAAAUAAAAAUGUUUUUGAAUUCUAUAGGGUAAGAUAUUGUGAAUAAUUUUUUAUUAUUAAAAAUUUUUUUUAGGUAGCAUGUAAUCCACAUAAAUAAAAAACUCAAGAAUAAACUGGGACAGAGGAUUUCUUCCAGAGUGCUACAUGGCAAAAGAGCCUUCAGGAACGUGUGCAGGGGUGUCAUGAUACUCCGAAGGUGUCAGUAGUUUUGGUCAGCCCACAGUGAGCAGGGCAGCCUCAAGGGAGAGCCCCUUACAUCCUUUUCUGGGCACCUCUGUCUAAUUAAGUUCAAACAUACAAGCCUGAUUCUAGGAUUAAGGCAUAAGUUAGUUCUGAACAGAAAAAUAUAAGGCAGUUCACAUACACAAUGAAUUCUUGAAGAAAGAACCUAUAGCCCCCAGACCGAUAAUAAAUAAUUACUGCCUGCCAAAAUCCUGAAGAAAGGGAAGCAUGGGGGCUCCAAAAUUAAUAGUCUCCUGAGAAUACUUAUGAGACCUUGAUUUUGUCACAAGGUUGCAAUGGUGAAUUAUUUAUUAAGCACCCGCAGAUCAGAGAAUCUUGCAACAACCUUCUCUUACAACCCACCUGUUCACUUAUGAAUGAUAUCAAGCUCAGGAUAUAAUCCAUCUUUCCAAAGAUUUUAGUAUCUUUAGUUUGGGCUGCAGAAGAAAUUUUGGCUCACAGCAUUAUGCUUAAACCAAAAACAGUGAAAGAGCUCUAGUGUCCUGCUUAAUGUAGAGUAACUUUUUUUUUUUAUCAGUCCUUCCUAGCCCUAGAGGGAAGAUAGGAGAGGAGGUAGGAAGAUGGAAAAGUCCUUAGAUGAAUGAGUGAGGAGACUUCUAUACCAUCAACUUCAGAGUGUACUGAUCCCCGGAGCCUGGUUCAGGAGGCUAGUUUCAGAUGAUCGGAGGAAAUGGAGGAGGUAGCUUUUAUUCCCAUGCAUGAAGAUGGGGGGAGGAGGUGGGCACUAGACUAAUUUUUUAAUCUAAAAAAAAUCAAGCCUAUUACAAAUCUCAUUUUUCCCUUGUCCUUUUGCCUCCCAAUAAUUCACAUAAAAUCGUGUUAUCAUAGUAAGCUAAGAGAGAGGGGCAGUAGCUAUUUCUACCUUGACUCCGUGGUGACUUCAUCUUUUUCAUGAGUGUCAUUACAGAUACCUGGAUCAUGAUGAUCCUGAAAAACAGGUCACAGGGCCAACAGCUGAUGAGUAUUUGGAGCAUCUUAUUCCCCCAAGAUGACCACUCCCUGUCUUCUGCUACACCUAUAUUCAUCGGGGGGGGGAGGUGGGAAAAUAGCAGGAUUCUUGGGGACUCUGAGGGCAUGAAUGGAGAAUUAUUUGAUUGAAACCACAGAGCUCUUGUACUUAGUAUUAAAUAUUAAAAUAGAAAUGAAAAGUUCAGCUUUUCUGAGCUGUACCAUAGCGGCCAAUGGAGGAAGUCUUACAAAGAAAAUCUAUAUCUGCACAAGACUGAAGCCACUAAACCGAGUAUACACAACAUAAAGAUAUCUUCCUAUUUCAAGUAUCCCUUAGGGGGCAUGGGUGCUUAGCUAUCCUAUGAAAGACAGAGAAGAUAAGCUCAAUUUUAGAGCCCAGAGCUUGCUCCGGAACAGCAAGAUCCACAUGAACUUAAACUCUUUCCCACUGAGCCUAGGGGUGGAAUGUAAUUCCUCUGAUGGUUUUGAUUUAUUUCCAAGCUAGACUUCUCUAUUUGAUCAUUGGCACCUUGGCAGCUCACACAUCUCCGUG